rnacentral:rRNA from 1 species
UACGUAGGUGGCAAGCGUUAUCCGGAUUUAUUGGGUGUAAAGGGCGUGUAGGCGGGAAUGCAAGUCAGAUGUGAAAACUAUGGGCUCAACCCAUAGCCUGCAUUUGAAACUGUAUUUCUUGAGUGCUGGAGAGGCAAUCGGAAUUCCGUGUGUAGCGGUGAAAUGCAUAGAUAUCACGCAGAACCCCGAUUGCGAAGGCAGCAUACCGGCGCCCGACUGACGCUGAGGCACGAAAGUGCGGGUAUCGAACAGG